rnacentral:rRNA from 1 species
CGAUGAAGCCACACGACAUUGCUGGGUGGAUUAGUGGCGAACGGGUGAGUAACACGUGGGUGAUCUGCCCUGCACUUCGGGAUAAGCCUGGGAAACUGGGUCUAAUACCGGAUAGGACCUCGGGAUGCAUGUUCCGGGGUGGAAAGGUUUUCCGGUGCAGGAUGGGCCCGCGGCCUAUCAGCUUGUUGGUGGGGUAACGGCCCACCAAGGCGACGACGGGUAGCCGGCCUGAGAGGGCGACCGGCCACACUGGGACUGAGACACGGCCCAGACUCCUACGGGAGGCAGCAGUGGGGAAUAUUGCACAAUGGGCGCAAGCCUGAUGCAGCGACGCCGCGUGAGGGAUGACGGCCUUCGGGUUGUAAACCUCUUUCAGUACCGACGAAGCGCGAGUGACGGUAGGUACAGAAGAAGCACCGGCCAACUACGUGCCAGCAGCCGCGGUAAUACGUAGGGUGCGAGCGUUGUCCGGAAUUACUGGGCGUAAAGAGCUCGUAGGCGGUUUGUCGCGUCGUCUGUGAAAACCCGCAGCUCAACUGCGGGCUUGCAGGCGAUACGGGCAGACUUGAGUACUGCAGGGGAGACUGGAAUUCCUGGUGUAGCGGUGAAAUGCGCAGAUAUCAGGAGGAACACCGGUGGCGAAGGCGGGUCUCUGGGCAGUAACUGACGCUGAGGAGCGAAAGCGUGGGUAGCGAACAGGAUUAGAUACCCUGGUAGUCCACGCCGUAAACGGUGGGCGCUAGGUGUGGGUUUCCUUCCACGGGAUCCGUGCCGUAGCUAACGCAUUAAGCGCCCCGCCUGGGGGAGUACGGCCGCAAGGCUAAAACUCAAAGGAAUUUGACGGGGGCCCGCACAAGCGGCGGAGCAUGUGGAUUAAUUCGAUGCAACGCGAAGAACCUUAACCUGGGGUUUGACAUACACCGGACCGCCCAGAAAGAUGGGGUUUCCCUUGGGGUCGGUGGUACAGGGUGGUGCAUGGUUGUCGUCAGCUCGUGUCGUGGAAAUGUUUGGGGUUAAGUCCCCGCAACGAGGGGCAACCCUUGGUCCUGGGGUUGCCAGCAAAUUUCGGUUGGGGGACUUCCAAGGAAAAUU